rnacentral:misc_RNA from 1 species
AUAAAGAGAAAGAGAGACAGUAAGUAGAACUGCAUGAGUGCAAUUGAUAAAGAAAGAAAGAAAGAAGUUCGUUAAUGACUUGAACAGAGAGUAAUUAUAACAACCAAACGACAAGGAACACAUAUGCGAGUCAGCAAAAGCUUCUAGUUACUUGAAUUAGUCCUAACAGAUAUUCAAUACACCAAGAACUUAUAAGAGUUCUUAC